rnacentral:rRNA from 1 species
GCAGCGACGCCGCGUGAGGGAUGACGGCCUUCGGGUUGUAAACCUCUUUCAGCAGGGACGAAGCGAGAGUGACGGUACCUGCAGAAGAAGCGCCGGCCAACUACGUGCCAGCAGCCGCGGUAAGACGUAGGGCGCGAGCGUUGUCCGGAUUUAUUGGGCGUAAAGAGCUCGUAGGCGGCUUGUCGCGUCGUUCGUGAAAACCUGCAGCUCAACUGCAGGCUUGCGGGCGAUACGGGCAGGCUAGAGUUCGGUAGGGGAGACUGGAAUUCCUGGUGUAGCGGUGAAAUGCGCAGAUAUCAGGAGGAACACCGGUGGCGAAGGCGGGUCUCUGGGCCGAUACUGACGCUGAGAGCGAAAGCGUGGGGAGCGAACAGGAUUAGAUACCCUGGUAGUCCACGCUGUAAACGUUGGGCGCUAGGGGUGGGGGGCCUCUCCGGUUCUCUGUGCCGCAGCUAACGCAUUAAGCGCCCCGCCUGGGGAGUACGGCCCAAGGCUAAAACUCA